CAAAUGCGGGCGGGCCGCUGCGGCUCUGCCUGGCUCGCGCGGGGCCGUUGGAGCCUCUCCCGGGGCCGGAGAAGGGUGUGUGACUGAGAUCAGGGCUCCUAUCGUACUGAGCGUGGCCCUGUUCUGCCAGGCACUGGAGAGACCCCAGCUGAGAUCUGGAUCCUGUUCUGCCAGGCACUGAAGAGACCCCAGGUGAGAUCAGACCCCACUGUUGUGCCAGGCUACAGAAUAACGUCCACGUUUUGCUCCAGAUCAUCCCAUCCUCCCAGGGGGAAGGCAAUGGCUGCAAUGGAGCUGGCUCAUGAUCCGGUGACUUUCGAGGAGGUGGCUGUGUAUUUCACUAGGGAGGAAUGGGCUCUUCUGGACCCUGUUCAGAGAGCCCUCUACAGGGAUGUCAUGCAGGAGAACUAUGAGAGGGUGACCU